rnacentral:rRNA from 1 species
UACGGAGGGGGCUAGCGUUGUUCGGAAUUACUGGGCGUAAAGCGCACGUAGGCGGCUUUGUAAGUUAGAGGUGAAAGCCCGGGGCUCAACUCCGGAACUGCCUUUAAGACUGCAUCGCUUGAAUUGUGGAGAGGUAAGUGGAAUUCCGAGUGUAGAGGUGAAAUUCGUAGAUAUUCGGAAGAACACCAGUGGCGAAGGCGACUUACUGGACCACUACUGACGCUGAGACACGAAAGCGUGGGGAGCAAACAGG